rnacentral:tRNA from 1 species
ACCUAGCUGACUCAGUAGAGCAUGUGACUCUCAAUCUCAGGGUUGUGGGUUCGAGCCCCACAUUGGGUG